rfam:Amycolatopsis halophila YIM 93223 genomic scaffold AmyhaDRAFT_Scaffold1.1, whole genome shotgun sequence.
GCCGGUCCUCGGUAGUGGUUCCCGGGACUCGGUCCCGAGGACUUCGAUCGAUGACCGGC